rnacentral:rRNA from 1 species
GACGAACGCUGGCGGCGUGCCUAACACAUGCAAGUCGAACGGAGAAUUUCAAUAAGCUUGCUUAGCGAAAUUUUUAGUGGCGGACGGGUGAGUAACGCGUGGGUAACCUACCCAUAAAUCCGGGACAACCCUUGGAAACGAGGGCUAAUACCGGAUAAUCUUAAGAAGUGGCAUCACUUUUUAAGGAAAGGUGGCCUCUGAAGAUGCUACCGAUUAUGGAUGGACCCGCGUCUGAUUAGCUAGUUGGUGGGGUAAAGGCCUACCAAGGCGACGAUCAGUAGCCGGCCUGAGAGGGUGAACGGCCACACUGGGACUGAGACACGGCCCAGACUCCUACGGGAGGCAGCAGUGGGGAAUCUUCCGCAAUGGACGAAAGUCUGACGGAGCAACGCCGCGUGUAUGAUGAAGGUCUUCGGAUUGUAAAGUACUGUCUUUGGGGAAGAAUGGUCGAUUUGAAAAUAUUGAGUCGA